UCAACCUCGAAUUAAGUUUUUAAUAUGGAUGAAAUAAAGAUACAAACAGGACGAGUAAAGUCACGGGUGGAGACUGUGCAAUAUAUUCGUUAUUCAAAACAAAGAGCGUUCGUUUAAGUGUAUGUGAGUUGCAUAAUGUUUUAAUAUUAAUAUUAUUUAUAGUACUUAAAAUUUUAACCCACCUAACCGUUGUGGGAUUAUUAUGUAUGAUUAUAUGAUUAUUAUGUUUGUAUAUUUUUUUUUGUUUACUUUUUUAAUGGUGCCAUAGGUGAGAAAGAUUUAAAUUUAUUGUUAUGUAAAGCGCAAUAUUAAGUGCAAAAGUAGUUAAGCCACCGUCACAAAAAUAAAAUAUCACAAAACGCUGCUUUACACUAUAAAUAUAUUUAUAAACGUGUCAGAUAAUCUGUCCUGUGCUUCGGCACUUCUAAAAAAUUGCGUUAAAUCUGCAGAGUAGAUACAAGUUAGAG
rnacentral:misc_RNA from 1 species